rnacentral:rRNA from 1 species
AACGAACGCUGGCGGCAGGCUUAACACAUGCAAGUCUAGCGCCCCGCAAGGGGAGCGGCAGACGGGUGAGUAACGCGUGGGAACGUACCCUUUGCUACGGAAUAGCUCCGGGAAACUGGAAUUAAUACCGUAUGUGCCCUACGGGGGAAAGAUUUAUCGGCAAAGGAUCGGCCCGCGUUGGAUUAGCGAGUUGGUGGGGUAAUGGCCUACCAAGGCGACGAUCCAUAGCUGGUCUGAGAGGAUGAUCAGCCACAUUGGGACUGAGACACGGCCCAAACUCCUACGGGAGGCAGCAGUGGGGAAUAUUGGACAAUGGGCGCAAGCCUGAUCCAGCCAUGCCGCGUGAGUGAUGAAGGCCUUAGGGUUGUAAAGCUCUUUCACCGGAGAAGAUAAUGACGGUAUCCGGAGAAGAAGCCCCGGCUAACUUCGUGCCAGCCGCCGCGGUAACAC